rnacentral:rRNA from 1 species
ACGCUCGACACCUACGGGGGCAGCAGUGAGGAAUAUUGGUCAAUGGACGCAAGUCUGAACCAGCCAUGCCGCGUGCAGGAUGACGGCUCUAUGAGUUGUAAACUGCUUUUGUACGAGGGUAAACGCAGAUACGUGUAUCUGUCUGAAAGUAUCGUACGAAUAAGGAUCGGCUAACUCCGUGCCCGCAGCCGCGGUAAUCUGAGCGGGCUGGCAAGGC